GCCUUUUGACCGCAUAGGUAAAGUCCUGCUUGCUGCUGUUGACCUGAUGAAGGGCAGCAUGUUGGAACUUCCAUCUGUUUUACACUCUUUUGGCGGGUCAUUUCUCCCACUGUGAGCCAGGCUUGAGAAUCUAGGCAGAUGUCAGAGGUCUGUCCCUAUGUUUCUUUCAAGCUGGCAAGAAUUCCACCAUGACUGCCACUUGCUCCCCCAUGGGUGUCAGAAUCUGUCAUAAUGGUUGGAUGUUUUUGUAAAACAUAAACAUUCCUGAUUUUAAGGUGUACAAUGAGACACAUUUUGUAAUUUGGGAAGGUACACCAUUUCAGUUUAGCAAUAGGGAGCUAUGGAGUUAGGCAGGGAGUCAAUAGAAUAUGUGCAGUCUUGGCAGUAUUUCAGUGUCAGU
rnacentral:lncRNA from 1 species